GACGAACGCUGGCGGCGUGCUUAACACAUGCAAGUCGAACGGAAAGACCCCUUUGGGGGUACUCGAGUGGCGAACGGGUGAGUAACACGUGAGUAACCUGCCCUUGACUUCGGGAUAACUUCAGGAAACUGGGGCGAAUACCGGAUAGGAAUCCUUGCUGCAUGGUGGGGGUUGGAAAGCUUCGGCGGUUUUGGAUGGACUCGCGGCGUAACAGCUUGUUGGUGGGGUAGUGGCUUACCAAGGCUUUGGCGGGUAGCCGGCCUGAGAGGGCGACCGGCCAUAUUGACUCUGAGAGGCGGCACAGAUUGCGAAGGGGCCGCGAAGGGCGAAAGCCUGCACAAUGGGCGGAGGCCGGGUGCAGAAACGCCGCGGACGGGAGAACGGCGUUAGUGGUGUAGACCGAAUUCAGAAGGAGCGAAGCAUGUCGUGACGGUACCUGAAGAAAAAGCACCGGCUAACUACGUG
rnacentral:rRNA from 1 species